rnacentral:rRNA from 1 species
GACAGAGGGUGCAAACGUUUGUUCGGAAUUACUGGGCGUAAAGCAUGCGCAGGCGGCUCCUUAAGUCAGAUGUGAAAUCCCCGGGCUCAACCUGGGAAUUGCAUUUGUGACUGCACGGCUAGAGUGUGUCAGAGGGGGGUAGAAUUCCACGUGUAGCAGUGAAAUGCGUAGAGAUGUGGAGGAAUACCGAUGGCGAAGGCAGCCCCCUGGGAUAAC